GGCGAGUGAAGCGGCAAAAGCUCAAAUUUGAAAUCUGGUACCUUCGGUGCCCGAGUUGUAAUUUGGAGAGGGCAACUUUGGGGCCGUUCCUUGUCUAUGUUCCUUGGAACAGGACGUCAUAGAGGGUGAGAAUCCCGUGUGGCGAGGAGUGCGGUUCUUUGUAAAGUGCCUUCGAAGAGUCGAGUUGUUUGGGAAUGCAGCUCUAAGUGGGUGGUAAAUUCCAUCUAAAGCUAAAUAUUGGCGAGAGACCGAUAGCGAACAAGUACAGUGAUGGAAAGAUGAAAAGAACUUUGAAAAGAGAGUGAAAAAGUACGUGAAAUUGUUGAAAGGGAAGGGCAUUUGAUCAGACAUGGUGUUUUGUGCCCUCUGCUCCUUGUGGGUAGGGGAAUCUCGCAUUUCACUGGGCCAGCAUCAGUUUUGGUGGCAGGAUAAAUCCAUAGGAAUGUAGCUUGCCUCGGUAAGUAUUAUAGCCUGUGGGAAUACUGCCAGCUGGGACUGAGGACUGCGACGUAAGUCAAGGAUGCUGGCAUAAUGGUUAUAUGCCGCCCGUCUUGAAACACGGACCAAAACAC
rnacentral:rRNA from 1 species